AUCUAGCUGACGAGUCCCAAAUAGAACGGAACACGCGUCGCACUGGAU
rnacentral:hammerhead_ribozyme from 1 species